AUUGAACGCUGGCGGCAGGCCUAACACAUGCAAGUCGAGCGGUAGAGAGGUGCUUGCAUCUCUUGAGAGCGGCGGACGGGUGAGUAAUGCCUAGGAAUCUGCCUAGUGGUGGGGGAUAACGUUCGGAAACGGACGCUAAUACCGCAUACGUCCUACGGGAGAAAGCGGGGGAUCUUCGGACCUCGCGCCAUUAGAUGAGCCUAGGUCGGAUUAGCUAGUUGGUGAGGUAAUGGCUCACCAAGGCGACGAUCCGUAACUGGUCUGAGAGGAUGAUCAGUCACACUGGAACUGAGACACGGUCCAGACUCCUACGGGAGGCAGCAGUGGGGAAUAUUGGACAAUGGGCGAAGACCUGAUCCAGCCAUGCCGCGUGUGUGAAGAAGGUCUUCGGAUUGUAAAGCACUUUAAGUUGGGAGGAAGGGUAGUAA
rnacentral:rRNA from 1 species